GUGCUUGCUUCAGUGGCAUCCAUACUAAAAUUGGAUGAUACAGGGAAGAUUAGUAUUGCCCCUGCACAAGGAUGACAUGCAAAGUCCUGAAGCAUUCCAAUUAAAA